rnacentral:rRNA from 1 species
UAAUGUCUGGGAAACUGCCUGAUGGAGGGGGAUAACUGCUGGAAACGGUAGCUAAUACCGCAUAACGUCGCAAGACCAAAGAGGGGGACCUUCGGGCCUCUUGCCAUCAGAUGUGCCCAGAUGGGAUUAGCUAGUAGGUGGGGUAAUGGCUCACCUAGGCGACGAUCCCUAGCUGGUCUGAGAGGAUGACCAGCCACACUGGAACUGAGACACGGUCCAG